CGGAGGGUGCAAGCGUUAUCCGGAUUCACUGGGUUUAAAGGGUGCGUAGGUGGGUUGGUAAGUCAGUGGUGAAAUCUCCGUGCUUAACAUGGAAACUGCCAUUGAUACUACUAGUCUUGAAUUUUCUGGAGGUAAGCGGAAUAUGUCAUGUAGCGGUGAAAUGCUUAGAUAUGACAUAGAACACCAAUUGCGAAGGCAGCUUGCUACAGGGGUAUUGACACUGAGGCACGAAAGCGUGGGGAUCAAACAGGAUUAGAUACCCUGGUAGUCCACGCCCUAAACGAUGGAUACUCGACAUUUGCGAUACACAGUAAGUGUCUGAGCGAAAGCAUUAAGUAUCCCACCUGGGAAGUACGACCGCAAGGUUG
rnacentral:rRNA from 1 species